rfam:Pteropus alecto contig94554, whole genome shotgun sequence.
GCCUCCCUCCCCUUUCUCCCUCCCUUUUCAGUUUUAUUCCCGUCAAGCUUUGGCAUCAUUAUCCUCAUCACUAAAUCCUACAGAGUACAGGGCGGAAAACCGUGCACAC